GAUGAACGCUGGCGGCGUGCCUAACACAUGCAAGUCGAGCGAAGCACUUUGCUUAUAUUCUUCGGAUGAAGAGGAUUGUGACUGAGCGGCGGACGGGUGAGUAACGCGUGGGUAACCUGCCUCAUACGGGGGGACAACAGUUAGAAAUGACUGCUAAUACCGCAUAAGACCACAGCACCGCAUGGUGCGGGGGUAAAAACUCCGGUGGUAUGAGAUGGACCCGCGUCUGAUUAGCUAGUUGGUAAGGUAACGGCUUACCAAGGCGACGAUCAGUAGCCGACCUGAGAGGGUGACCGGCCACAUUGGGACUGAGACACGGCCCAAACUCCUACGGGAGGCAGCAGUGGGGAAUAUUGCACAAUGGGGGAAACCCUGAUGCAGCGACGCCGCGUGAGCGAAGAAGUAUUUCGGUAUGUAAAGCUCUAUCAGCAGGGAAGAAAAUGACGGUACCUGACUAAGAAGCACCGGCUAAAUACGUGCCAGCAGCCGCGGUAAUACGUAUGGUGCAAGCGUUAUCCGGAUUUACUGGGUGUAAAGGGAGCGUAGACGGAUGGGCAGGUCUGAUGUGAAAACCCGGGGCUCAACCCCGGGACUGCAUUGGAAACUGUUUAUCUAGAGUGCUGGAGAGGUAAGUGGAAUUCCUAGUGUAGCGGUGAAAUGCGUAGAUAUUAGGAGGAACACCAGUGGCGAAGGCGGCUUACUGGACAGUAACUGACGUUGAGGCUCGAAAGCGUGGGGAGCAAACAGGGUUAGAUACCCUGGUAGUCCACGCCGUAAAC
rnacentral:rRNA from 1 species